rnacentral:rRNA from 1 species
CCUACGGGUGGCAGCAGUAGGGAAUCUUCCACAAUGGACGAAAGUCUGAUGGAGCAACGCCGCGUGAGUGAAGAAGGGUUUCGGCUCGUAAAGCUCUGUUGGUAGUGAAGAAAGAUAGAGGUAGUAACUGGCCUUUAUUUGACGGUAAUUACUUAGAAAGUCACGGCUAACUACGUGCCAGCAGCCGCGGUAAUACGUAGGUGGCAAGCGUUGUCCGGAUUUAUUGGGCGUAAAGGGAGUGCAGGCGGUUCAAUAAGUCUGAUGUGAAAGCCUUCGGCUCAACCGGGGAAUUGCAUCAGAAACUGUUUGGCUUGAGAGCAGAAGAGGAGAGUGGAACUCCAUGUGUAGCGGUGGAAUGCGUAGAUAUUAGGAAGAACACCAGUGGCGAAGGCGGCUUUCUGGACUGAAACUGACGCUGAGGCACGAAAGCGUGGGGAGCGAACAGGAUUAGAUACCCUUGUAGUC